rnacentral:ribozyme from 1 species
AUAAUGCAUUGAGUUCAGUUGUUGUCUUGGAAGUGGCACAAGGACAGUGGAGUUCAGUGAGUACAAUGCC